rnacentral:ncRNA from 1 species
ACUAAUGAUGCUCCUCUCAAGUGAUGCAACCCUUGGCGCUUAACUUCUUUCGCCAAGCAUAUUACACGCGGUAAAGCCGCUAAAGGAGAAAACAUG